rnacentral:rRNA from 1 species
UACGUAGGGUGCGAGCGUUAAUCGGAUUUACUGGGCGUAAAGCGUGCGCAGGCGGCCCGUUAAGACAGGUGUGAAAUCCCUGGGCUCAACCUAGGAAUUGCGCUUGUGACUGGCGGGCUCGAGUACGGUAGAGGGGGGUAGAAUUCCAGGUGUAGCGGUGAAAUGCGUAGAGAUCUGGAGGAACACCGAUGGCGAAGGCAGCCCCCUGGGCCUGUACUGACGCUCAUGCACGAAAGCGUGGGGAGCAAACAGG